GCGCCCAUAGCUCAACUGGAUAGAGUGUCUGACUACGGAUCAGAAGGUUGAGGGUUCAAAUCCUUCUGGGCGGU
rnacentral:tRNA from 1 species